CAGUCGCCACGGUAAAACAGAGGGUGCAAGCGUUAAUCGGAAUUACUGGGCGUAAAGCGCGCGUAGGUGGUUUGUUAAGUUGGAUGUGAAAUCCCCGGGCUCAACCUGGGAACUGCAUCCAAAACUGGCAAGCUAGAGUAUGGUAGAGGGUGGUGGAAUUUCCUGUGUAGCGGUGAAAUGCGUAGAUAUAGGAAGGAACACCAGUGGCGAAGGCGACCACCUGGACUGAUACUGACACUGAGGUGCGAAAGCGUGGGGAGCAAACAGGAUUAGAGACCCCUGUAGUCCCUGUCUCUUAUAC
rnacentral:rRNA from 1 species